rfam:Trichosporon asahii var. asahii CBS 8904 unplaced genomic scaffold scaffold00066, whole genome shotgun sequence.
GGGCGUCUAGCUCAGUUGGUAGAGCGCGUCAUUAGCAUCCGGACAGUUCAGGAAUUGAAGCCUGUCCAGCUAGCAUUGACGAGGUCUUUGGUUCGAUUCCUAAGUCGUCCA